rnacentral:rRNA from 1 species
AUUGAACGCUGGCGGCAUGCCUUACACAUGCAAGUCGAACGGUAACAGGUCUUCGGAUGCUGACGAGUGGCGAACGGGUGAGUAAUACAUCGGAACGUGCCUAGUAGUGGGGGAUAACUACUCGAAAGAGUGGCUAAUACCGCAUGAGAUCUACGGAUGAAAGCAGGGGAUCGCAAGACCUUGUGCUACUAGAGCGGCCGAUGGCAGAUUAGGUAGUUGGUGGGAUAAAAGCUUACCAAGCCGACGAUCUGUAGCUGGUCUGAGAGGACGAUCAGCCACACUGGGACUGAGACACGGCCCAGACUCCUACGGGAGGCAGCAGUGGGGAAUUUUGGAAAAUGGGCGCAAGCCUGAUCCAGCAAUGCCGCGUGCGGGAUGAAGGCCUUCGGGUUGUAAACUGCUUUUGUACGGAACGAAAAGCCCCGGGUUAAUACCCUGGGGUCAUGACGGUACCGUAAGAAUAAGCACCGGCUAACUACGUGCCAGCCGCCGCCGUAA